rnacentral:tRNA from 1 species
GGGGAAGUUGCUUAGUUGGUUAGAGCGCCGGUCUGUCACGCCGGAGGUCGCGGGUUCAAGUCCCGUCUUUCCCG